AUUGAACGCUGGCGGCAGGCCUAACACAUGCAAGUCGAACGAGUGGCGGACGGGUGAGUAAUGUCUGGGAAACUGCCUGAUGGAGGGGGAUAACUACUGGAAACGGUAGCUAAUACCGCAUACCAUCAGAUGUGCCCAGAUGGGAUUAGCUGGUUGGUGGGGUAAAGGCUCACCAAGGCGACGAUCCCUAGCUGGUCUGAGAGGAUGACCGGCAACACGGGAAUUGGGCCAGGGGCCAGAAUCCUACGGGAGGAAGAAGUGGGGAAGAUUGAACAAGGGGCGCAAGCCUGAGGCAGCAAUGCCGGGUGUAUGAAGAAGGCUUUCGGUUUGUAAAGUACUUUCAGCGGGGAGGCGUUACCCGCAGAAGAAGCACCGGCUAACUCCGUGCCAGCAGCCGCGGUAAUU
rnacentral:rRNA from 1 species